CAAUGUGCUUUUUAGCAACAAUGUGACUGACCAGGCUGGAGAGAAGCUACUGGCAGCACUAUCCCACUGCAGAGUUCUUCAGAAACUACAGCUGUCCAAAACCCGGCUUGGUCAGGCAUGUGCUGCUAAACUAGCUCAAGUCUUUCCGUUACUGCCCCAACUUACAGAACUCAAUUUGUCAGAGAAUCAUUUUGGGCCACAUGGAUCCUUGGUUCUUAGUGUCAAGGUCGGAUGAGCAUGAAGGCACUGAAAACACUACAGUAAGACAUACAGUAGCCUUAGUGAGCAUAAGAGGCUUAUUAAGAAAACACACUGUAAACCAGUGUUACUACUUAUCUCUCGGUUUGACUUCGAUUGGGAGUUCAGAUCUGGUUGGUGUGGCCUCAUCCCACAAACACUGUCCGUCCAUAGAGGACAUCAGGUAGGAUAAGACAUUUCAGACUUUUUUUUAAUGCUGCAGUUGGACUGAUAAAUGCAUUGUCCCGGUCCCUGUGUUGUGUGUGUGUUGCCAUUAGAAAAAUACUUGAGUAAGUGCUUGAGUGCUUGCUGUGAAGGUUUAGCUAUUACUGCGAUUACAAAAUGCUGAUGUCAUUAAAACUAAUGAUUGCAGCUUGGAAGCAAAUAAUAUAACUACAGCAGGAGCCACAGUGAUAGCCACAUGCAUCCUAUUAUGCCCCUCCAUUGAAGUAAUAAGGUUUGACUAGUACAUACACUCUUUUUCAGAAAAUGUUUUACACAGACUCUGGAGGAACCCAAUUGCCAAAGAAGAUGAGAAUCUGAAAGAUUAGAGACUUAAUUUUUCAUCAUUGUAAUUACUUGUGUUUUCUUUUUAUAAUUUUUCCCCCUUAUAUUGUAAACAAUAUUGUUGUAGUACUAUUACUGGAUUGUAAUGUCUAGUUAUUUAAUCAGGGAACACAUUACCUUAUUAGAGCAAUUCAUUACACCAAAGUGACCAAACAACACAGUUUCCAGUUGUUCAGGGACUUGAAUCAAUUAAUGUCCAUCUAAUGGUAACAGUAGGCUCUGUUUAAUAAAGAGAAAGAGCAGGCAACAAACUAUGGCAUA